CCUGGGUUCCUCUUUAUGAGCUUUCAAAAACAAAAGCCACAGGGAGAAGACAAUGCAGCAUUCACAGGUACUGGAGGAAGAUGCUGGAAUGUUUCGUUCAUUGAAGCUGGAUGAGACCCAAAUCCUGGAGGCAGUUCUGCAGAUUUUGACACUUGGAACAAUAAGUACUCUGGUCUUCACUGGCCUCCUGAGAGAUUCCAACGCAGAACCACCGAAUAAGCUGAUCUCAAAUUCCUGAUGCACGGAAACUGUCAUGGAGCGUGGCCCACGACCCGGCCCCGCCGCCACGGCCGGCGAGCCGUCCACCCGUCUUCCGCC
ensembl:lncRNA